AUGAUCACCGGCACGGGCGCACACCUGUCCAUGCAUGCUUGUGCGCAAAGCAAUGCUCCCAGGACAAAAGAAGAGAAAGUUUCACCCACAAGCCGCCGCUGCCUCUGCCUGCUGCUGUGCCCGGCCGGCAAUAUUGUUUUGUUUUCUUCUUCUACCUUUGGCAAGGCCAAGGGGAGGGGCGAAAGCGAAGCCUACAGCGAGGGGCAGAGGCUGCUGGCCGCGUGGGCGGCAGGCCAGGCCGGGGGACACGAAAGCGGUGGGGGCGCGCCAAAAGGGCCGAGGGCGCUCCCUUCCCUGUCCGUCUACUCAGAUGCAGAUGCAGAUGCAGAUGGAGAUGGAGAUGGAGAUGGAGUGCAGGUGCGAGCGCUCAUCAAGGGGAGGGUGGUGCUACCGGUCAAUCGCCGGUAG
rnacentral:rRNA from 1 species